UCGUGAAAGAGAAGAUAUUUGAACACUAAAAGGUAGCAAGAAUUUUUCUGCAUUCUCUGCUAGAGGUGUUUGCACACAACUUUGGUUCCCCUGGAGUGACCCACGUACUCUCUGAAACGCCACUCAUCCUUCAGGACCACUUCUCCAUAAAGUUUUUCAUGGGAUACAUUGGCCUCUCAUACUUCAGUUUAAUGUUCCAGUGAUGGCUAUAUAAUCUGCCAGGAUACCUCCAAAGUAGCAAAACAAGCGAGAUACAUCACAGAUGUCCCUGUUAAAUCCUCUUCAACCCACAUACAAGAUGGAACUCACGGUUGGACCCACACUCCUUGUGAGAACUUUCCCUCUCACAUACGUUGGAGAAAAGAACUUUUUUUUCAAGGCACAACAAAAUUACUUCUGCAGGCCUGGGGCAGACCAGUGGCAUAGAGCCCACCCAAAGUUGCUUCAUCCCAAUGUCUCCAGUACCCAGCUGAGACAAAUCCUUGUCUUCAAACUCCUUGAAGCUGAACUGGGUGAACGCUCUGAGUGGUCUGGUUUCUCAGGAACGGGUUAGCUAGCUGACCCGCAACGUGGAAAGUAAGCUGGAAAAUCGCGAAGUGUUCGGUGACUCUCCAGAUAUUUCUCGAACAUGUAGAGAACAACCAAAAUAAACAAAAAUAU